rnacentral:lncRNA from 1 species
UGUAACGAAUUGAUUGGCUGGAAUUAUUUUUAAUGGUGCAAUGAACAUGAAAUUAAAGAAAAGGAUGGUCCACAUAAUGAAGAAAUGGAUCAUAUUAUGAUGAAGAUGGAAGAAAGGGAAGGUGAAAGGAGGAAAACAUCAAAUUUAGUGAAAUUUGUUUUCACUUUGGAAAAAUGGUUGAAGGUGUUAAUAGGAUGAUCUUUUUGUCUAUGUAAUUAACAUAAUUGUAAUAUCAAUGUUGUUGAAAAGCUCAUUAUGUGCUAUAAAAUGUUGAAGUAGUUGAUGUAAUAUUUUUCAAUCAAUGACAUUGUUUGUAGCAUUAACUAGCUCAUUUGAAUGUCAUUGAAUAUCUGACAUUUUGAUGUCAUUCCUCACUUUUCCAACCUCAUCAUCAUUUGAAUCACUGCAUUCUUCUUAUCUUAUGUUUGCCCUUGAAGUCCCAGUUGCUCUAAAAAUACCUUUUGGAGCACUUCACACUUGACAUUCAACAUUACCAGCUAAUACAUUAUCUAUGUCACAUUCAAUAUUGAUACCAAGUAGCCUUUCAUCAUUGAAAGACUCAUAUUCACUAUCACCUUCAUCAUCAUCUACAUCCUCUAACUCAACAUCCUCCUCGUCAUCUAAAUCAACUUCAUCCCCAUUCUCUAAGUCUUUUUUACCUUCACCAUCACCUUCAAAUUGACUCCCCCCUCCCUUCUAAUUCUUUCUUACCUUCGCCAUCACCCUCUAACUAAACCCCCUCCUUUGACUCUUUUUUAGCAUCACACUCAAACUGACCACCCUUUUCUAACUCUUUUUCACCUUUACCAUCACCAUCAAGUUAAGCAUCAUCCUCUAACUCUUUUUCACCUUCACCAUCACCCUCAAAUUGACCAUCCUCCUCUAACUCUUUUUCACCUAUACUAUCACUCUCAAACUGAUCACCCUCCUCUAACUCUUUUUCACCUAAACCAUCACUCUCAAAUUGGUCCAUAUCCUUUAACCCAAGUUUAGCAUCAACCUUUAACUCAACCCCUCUCAAUCAUGUAUAUUACC